rnacentral:rRNA from 1 species
ACGGAAGGCAGCAGUGGGGAAUAUUGCACAAUGGGGGCAAGCCUGAUGCAGCGACGCCGCGUGAGUGAAGAAGUAUUUCGGUUUGUAAACCUCUGUCAACAGGGACGAUAAUGACGGUACCUGUGAAGGAAGCUCCGGCUAACUACGUGCCAGCAGCCGCGGUAAUACGUAGGGAGCAAGCGUUAUCCGGAAUUACUGGGUGUAAAGGGAGUGUAGGCGGGACUGUAAGUCAGAUGUGAAAUAUGCCGGCUCAACUGGCAGACUGCAUUUGAAACUGCGGUUCUUGAGUGAAGGAGAGGUAAGCGGAAUUCCUGGUGUAGCGGUGAAAUGCGUAGAUAUUAGGAGGAACAUCAGUGGCGAAGGCGGCUUACUGGGCGUUAACUGACGCUGAGGCUCGAAAGCGUGGGGAGCAAACAGGAUUAGAUACCCUGGUA